rnacentral:rRNA from 1 species
AUUGAACGCUGCGGCAGGCUUAACACAUGCAAGUCGAGCGAGCGGCGGACGGGUGAGUAAUGCUUAGGUAUCUGCCUAUUAGUGGGGGACCACAUCACGAACGGGAUGCUAAUCUCGCAUACUAAUAGAUGCGCUUAAGGCGUAUUAUCUAGUUGGUGGGGUAAAGGCCUACCAAGGCGCCGAUCUGUAGCGGGGCUGAUAGGCUGAUCGGGCAAACUGGUACUGAGACACGGCCCAGACUCCUACGGGAGGCAGCAGUGGGGAAUAUUAGACAAUGGGGGGAACACUGAUCCAGCCAUGCCGCGUGUGUGAAGAAGGCCUUAGGGUUGUAAAGCACUUUAAGCGGGGAGGCGUUAAUCAAAGAAUAAGCACCGGCUAACUCUGUGCCAGCAGCCGCGGUAAUUC